GAUGAACGCUGGCGGCGUGCCUAAUACAUGCAAGUCGAGCGAACAGAUGAGGAGCUUGCUCCUCUGACGUUAGCGGCGGACGGGUGAGUAACACGUGGAUAACCUACCUAUAAGACUGGGAUAACUUCGGGAAACCGGAGCUAAUACCGGAUAAUAUAUUGAACCGCAUGGUUCAAUAGUGAAAGAAGGUUUUGCUGUCACUUAUAGAUGGAUCCGCGCCGCAUUAGCUAGUUGGUAAGGUAACGGCUUACCAAGGCGACGAUGCGUAGCCGACCUGAGAGGGUGAUCGGCCACACUGGAACUGAGACACGGUCCAGACUCCUACGGGAGGCAGCAGUAGGGAAUCUUCCGCAAUGGGCGAAAGCCUGACGGAGCAACGCCGCGUGAGUGAUGAAGGUCUUCGGAUCGUAAAACUCUGUUAUUAGGGAAGAACAAAUGUGUAAGUAACUAUGCACGUCUUGACGGUACCUAAUCAGAAAGCCACGGCUAACUACGUG
rnacentral:rRNA from 1 species